CCUACGGGAGGCAGCAGUGGGGAAUAUUGGGCAAUGGAGGCAACUCUGACCCAGCAACGUCGCGUGAAUGAUGAAGGUCUUCGGAUUGUAAAGUUCUGUGAUGGGAGAUGAACACAAUGACGGUACCGCAAUAGCAAGCCAAGGCUAACUACGUGCCAGCAGCCGCGGUAAUACGUAGGUGGCAAGCGUUAUCCGGAAUGACUGGGUGUAAAGGGUGCGUAGGUGGUUUGGUAAGUUGGCGGUGAAAUUCCGGGGCUCAACCUCGGCACUACCGCCGAAACGAUUAGACUAGAGGACAGGAGAGGUAAGUGGAAUUCGUGGUGUAGCGGUGGAAUGCGUAGAUAUUAGGAAGAACAUCAAGGGCGAAGGCGACUUACUAGACUGUAACUGACACUGAGGCACGAAAGCGUGGGGAGCAAACAGGAUUAGAUACCCGUGUAGUC
rnacentral:rRNA from 1 species